rnacentral:snRNA from 1 species
CUCGAAUAUGUUUUGUAUUAUUA